GACGAACGCUGGCGGCGUGCCUAACACAUGCAAGUCGAACGGAGAUUAUUAAUGAAGCUUGCGAUUUAAUAAUCUUAGUGGCGGACGGGUGAGUAACGCGUGGGUAACCUUCCUUAUACAGGGGGAUAACAUAUUGAAAAGUAUGCUAAUACCGCAUAAGACCACAGGGUCGCAUGACCUGGUGGUAAAAACUCCGGUGGUAUAAGAUGGACCCGCGUCUGAUUAGCUAGUAGGUGAGGUAGAGGCUCACCUAGGCGACGAUCAGUAGCCGACCU
rnacentral:rRNA from 1 species